rnacentral:rRNA from 1 species
UACAGAGGAGCCAAGCGUUGUCCGGAUUGACUGGGCGUAAAGCGCACGCAGGCGGCACCGCGCGUGGGGUGUGAAAUCUGGCCGCUUAACGGCCAGGCGCCAUCCCAUACGGCGGAGCUGGAGUGAUGCAGAGGUCGAUGGAAUUGCCGGUGUAGUGGUGAAAUGCGCAGAUAUCGGGAGGAACACCGGUGGCGAAGGCGGUUCUCUGGGCCUUACCUGACGCUGAGGAGCGAAAGCGUGGGGAGCGAACAGG